rnacentral:rRNA from 1 species
AUUGAACGCUGGCGGCAGGAGUAACACAUGCAAGUCGAACGAGUGGCGGACGGGUGAGUAAUGUCUGGGAAACUGGCUGAUGGAGGGGGAUAACUACAGGAAACGGUAGCUAAUACCGCGUACCAUCAGAUGAGCCCAAGUGGGAUUAGCUAGUUGGUUGGGUAACGGCUCACCAAGGCGACGAUCCCUAGCUGGUCUGAGAGGAUGACCAGACACACUGGGACUGAGACACGGGCCAGACUCCUACGGGAGGAAGCAGUGGGGAAUAUUGCGCCAUGGGCGCAACCCUGAUGCAUCCAUGCCGCGUGAAUGAAGAACGCCUUCGGGUUGUAAAGUACUUUCGGUGGGGAGGCAUUACCCACAGAAGAAGCACCGGCUAACUCCGUGCCAGCAGCCGAUGUAAUAC